AGGACGAACGCUGGCGGCGUGCUUAACACAUGCAAGUCGAACGGUGAAGCCCUUCGGGGUGGAUCAGUGGCGAACGGGUGAGUAACACGUGGGUAAUCUGCCCUGCAUUCUGGGACAAGCCUUGGAAACGAGGUCUAAUACCGGAUACGACGCAUCUCCGCAUGGGGUGUGCGUGGAAAGCUCUGGCGAUGCAGGAUGAACCCGCGGCCUAUCAGCUUGUUGGUGGGGUGAUGGCCUACCAAGGCGACGACGGGUAGCCGGCCUGAGAGGGCGACCGGCCACACUGGGACUGAGACACGGCCCAGACUCCUACGGGAGGCAGCAGUGGGGAAUAUUGCACAAUGGGCGAAAGCCUGAUGCAGCGACGCCGCGUGAGGGAUGACGGCCUUCGGGUUGUAAACCUCUUCAGCAGGGAAGAAGCGCAAGUGAUGGUACCUGCAGAAGAAGCACCGGCUAACUACGUGCCAGCAGCCGCGGUAAU
rnacentral:rRNA from 1 species